CGUGGGAUGGCGCAGUUGGUAGCGCGCUUGGUUCAUACCCAAGAGGUCGUCGGUUCAAGUCCGGCUCCCGCAA
rnacentral:tRNA from 1 species